rnacentral:rRNA from 1 species
AUUGAACGCUGGCGGCAGGCUUAACACAUGCAAGUCGAGCGGAGCGAGGGUGCUUGCACCUUAGCUUAGCGGCGGACGGGUGAGUAAUGCUUAGGAAUCUGCCUAUUAGUGGGGGACAACAUUCCGAAAGGAAUGCUAAUACCGCAUACGCCCUACGGGGGAAAGCAGGGGAUCUUCGGACCUUGCGCUAAUAGAUGAGCCUAAGUCGGAUUAGCUAGUUGGUGGGGUAAAGGCCUACCAAGGCGACGAGCUGUAGCGGGUAUGAGAGGAUGAUCCGGCACACUGGGACUGAGACACGGCCCAGACUCCUACGGGAGGCAGCAGUGGGGAAUAUUGGACAAUGGGCGGAAGCCUGAUCCAGCCAUGCCGCGUGUGUGAAGAAGGCCUUUUGGUUGUAAAGCACUUUAAGCGAGGAGGAGGCUACUUAGAUUAAUACUCUGGGAUAGUGGACGUUACUCGCAGAAUAAGCACCGGCUAACUCUGUGCCAGCAGCCGCGGUAA